GCAACAGUGGCACAUUAAUUUAAAUGUAUCUGCUGAAGUGGAGAUAAUCGAUGCAAAUCACUAGCACUGGGCACAAAUAGGUAAUGCUGGUUGAAUCUGGGGACUGAAUGGGCUGAAUUUGACUGCAUCUAAACUGCCUUGUUUUACCCGCGGCAACUUCUCUGAGGAUUACCUUUAGUCCCUGUCUGUUUGGAGAGGUUCAAAUAUGUGCUGACGGGGCCCUGACCUACGUGUAUAUGAGUUUUAAAAACAAGCUGUUUCUGUGUCUGCACAAGAGACUUUGCAUUGCUUGAAACCACAAA